rnacentral:rRNA from 2 species
GUUUUUNNNNNNNCUCAGGACGAACGCUGGCGGCGUGCCUAAUACAUGCAAGUCGAACGAACUCUGGUAUUGAUUGGUGCUUGCAUCAUGAUUUACAUUUGAGUGAGUGGCGAACUGGUGAGUAACACGUGGGAAACCUGCCCAGAAGCGGGGGAUAACACCUGGAAACAGAUGCUAAUACCGCAUAACAACUUGGACCGCAUGGUCCGAGCUUGAAAGAUGGCUUCGGCUAUCACUUUUGGAUGGUCCCGCGGCGUAUUAGCUAGAUGGUGGGGUAACGGCUCACCAUGGCAAUGAUACGUAGCCGACCUGAGAGGGUAAUCGGCCACAUUGGGACUGAGACACGGCCCAAACUCCUACGGGAGGCAGCAGUAGGGAAUCUUCCACAAUGGACGAAAGUCUGAUGGAGCAACGCCGCGUGAGUGAAGAAGGGUUUCGGCUCGUAAAACUCUGUUGUUAAAGAAGAACAUAUCUGAGAGUAACUGUUCAGGUAUUGACGGUAUUUAACCAGAAAGCCACGGCUAACUACGUGCCAGCAGCCGCGGUAAUACGUAGGUGGCAAGCGUUGUCCGGAUUUAUUGGGCGUAAAGCGAGCGCAGGCGGUUUUUUAAGUCUGAUGUGAAAGCCUUCGGCUCAACCGAAGAAGUGCAUCGGAAACUGGGAAACUUGAGUGCAGAAGAGGACAGUGGAACUCCAUGUGUAGCGGUGAAAUGCGUAGAUAUAUGGAAGAACACCAGUGGCGAAGGCGGCUGUCUGGUCUGUAACUGACGCUGAGCUCG